UUGCGCGGCCACCUCGUCCUCGGCUCCUCCCGCGGGUGGCUCGCCACGGCCGACGACCGGGGUCAGAUCUACCUCGUCAACCCGCUCAGCGGCAUGCAGCUCAGGUUGCCGCACAUGUCCACCAUGGGUCUCUUCGUGCCCGACACGCGAUACCUACACUUCUCCCUCCGCAUACCGGACUUCCUGAAAGCCCGGUUCGGCGGGGGGCCGCCCUACGAUCAUGAAUGGGGUCCGGUGGGGUACAACACUAGCACGUUGAUCUAUUAUCAGAUGCGUGAGCAUUUUUACCGCAAGGUGGUCAUCUCGACGUCCCCGCUCCCCAGCAGCUAUGCCGUGAUGCUCAUCAUGGAACAUAAGAUCGGCGCACCGGCCUUCGCCACGGCGAAGCACCCUGUGUGGAGGCUGGCACCCUCGCGUGAAGGCGUCGAGGACGCCAUCCACCAUGACGGCCGGUUCUACUCCGUCUCCUACUCAGGCCUGGUGGAGGCGUGGGAGCGCAAUGCGGUGUCCGGCGUGUACACUAGCACGGCCGUCGCGCCACGGCUGGCCCUUGGGAAAAACGAAGAAGGCAGCUCGUCGUCGUGCCGCAAGUACCUCGCGGCGGCGCCCGGAGGGCGGCUGAUGGUGGUGCUCAAGUACCUCGAGGUGAUCAAGGAGCAGAACGGCCAGGGCAGACGGCCGUGCUCCUUCAAGGUGCAUGCCCUCAGCGACCAAGGGCAGUGGAAGGAGGCGACGGACAUCGGCAACGUCGCGCUGUUCGUCGGGGUGAACAACUCGCUGUGCUUGCCGAUGAUGGAGCGCCCGGAGAUCAAGGCCAGCUGCGUCUACUACACUGACAACGAGCUCGGCAACAGAUCGACGUACGAUGGCGAUGGCGGUCGCGGUGAGUCGGAUCUUCAGGCUGUCGGGGUGUACAGCCUCAAGGACGGCACGAUGAAGAAAAUCUGGGAUCUCGGAGAGCAGGUCCGAAACUUUUACCCGCCGCCGGUUUGGAUAUUACCUUCCAAGUACUAA
rnacentral:rRNA from 1 species